UGCAAACAUAACCUUAGCUUCAUGUUCUGAAGUUUUGAAGAGAUGCUAAGUGAAAACUGGUAGCAGAAUACAUUCAAAGGUACAUUAAAAACUAUUGCCCACUUUUUGAAAUGUUUGUCAAAAUUGGGGGAUGUAGAAAUAAGGCGGUUGGGGUUAGGGUCUGAAAAAAACAUGAGUUGUAGGUAGCUCUCGGAGCAGUGAAUUCACAAGUAGAAGAUGUGACAGCGAUGAAGAGAGAGCCGAUGAUCUUCAGUGCAAGGGAAUUUCUUAGCAGAUCCAAGUUCAUUUUGGAUCCACGAAUGUUGAAUCUUAUUACAACAGAAGAAGAAGAACAAGAGUGACUUCGAAUUUUUGUUUGUGCCUUGCUAAUAUUGAUAAUUACAUGAACCAUCUACCCACAAUGAAGCUUACAAAUUUGACAAAAAUUGUAUUCUGGUAUUGAUUGCCCUCCGCAGACUCCAUUAAUUGUUGUGAUGAUUGAAUGCGUAUGUCGUGAUCGAGAUCUACAACUUUGACAGCGUCGUGUCUGUUGGCUUCAGCAACGUCUGUGCCUUGCUCUACAUAGGCUGGUUCAUUUUGUUGUGAUGAGGUGGGGACAUGUUCAUUAGGCUACCAAAAAGCUUGACUGUGGAUGUUUCCAUAGGCUUGGUUCCAAUUGGCUCGCUACCGGGGAUCCGAUGGGAGUUGAAAGCAUGCAUUUUGCCAAAAGAAGUAGCUCUCGAUGUUGGGAUGUUGGUCGGUGUGCCCUCAAUAACUCUUCUCCCAAUCCUAGAUAACCCUGGUCUGGCGGAAUUGCUGAAGAGCAUGGUUUGGCGGCCAAGCAAAGGUUCUCUAGUGCUGUGAGAUCUUGUAAUUCCUCCGUUGAAAGCCCCACCUGGAGUGAAAUGAGAUCCUUUGGAGGAAAUUAGAGUCUGCUACUCCCUUUUACACUACACAAUGAAGCAAUCCAUGAGCACCCCUCAGUGGACCCAGAAAGAAUUUUUUUUGUUGGACCAAUAAAAUGAGCAACUUCAAUGACGAAUGAUUCGCAAGUAAAAUAAUUGUUCCUUACUGACCGAAAAAAAACAUUACU